rnacentral:rRNA from 1 species
CUUGAGCUAAUACCGGAUGCCCUCAUCAGAUCGAAUGAUCCGAGGAGGAAAGAUUUAUCGCUUUGGGAGGGUCUCGCGGCCUAUCAGCUUGUUGGUGAGGUAACGGCUCACCAAGGCAUUGACGGGUAGCUAGUCUGAGAGGACGAAUAGCCACACUGGGACUGAGACACGGCCCAGACUCCUACGGGAGGCAGCAGCAGGGAAUCUUGCACAAUGGACGAAAGUCUGAUGCAGCGACGCCGCGUGGGGGAUGAAGGCCCUAGGGUCGUAAACCCCUUUCAGUGGGGACGAAAAUGACGGUACCCACAGAAGAAGGUCCGGCCAACUACGUG